rnacentral:sRNA from 1 species
GCACCAGCAAAAUCUGGUGUCAGGAUUGAGACCCUGAUAAUAGAAAAGGCGACACAUGACGCUCCAAGCGUCUUUUUU